UGCUGUCACGUAGAUCCCCGUCCAGUUACAUAGGCUCUGGUCUUUCCAGGUGCAGGACGAGGUACAGGCCAUUGGAGGUUCGCAAAAACUAGAGCACAAAGAGUUGAUGAGGCCGCUGAUAUACAUUUUUCCUUCGUGUACAAGAUUUGAUCGGGAACAACAACAUACAAACGUCGAUUAGCAGGCAAUAACACACAACUGUGCACGCUCCUGAUAUUCAGAGAGAUUCUAUUUUUACACUUCGGGAGUACAUAUGAAAAACACAUAUCUACUGUUGUUCAGACGUAGUUGAAACUGCAGCAUAAUCAUAUUUGACAUCUACAGUGUUGCUAUCUUGGGAACCGUGUUCUCUCCAACUGAUCUUCCACAUCUGGAGUAAGCUUACCCUGCAUGACAGAGGAAAAAUAUUACUCACAUGAUGAAUCUGGUGAUUUCUCAUUCUGUUAUCAUUCUAGUAAUCAAAUUGAACAAAGAUCAACCUCAUAAAGAGCGAAGACAUCACAAUUUUAGCAUCAGUGGAAUGAAAGUCCAUGAUAGUGUAGCAUAAAUUUUGGUGUAUUUGUAUUGCUCAAAGCAGAACAAGCAACUUACGACUGGAAACAGUUUGGCCUGUAUAAUUGUGAUUUUUAAUACAACUGUAUGUAUAAUCAUAUUUGAUCGCUUGACCGUCCUACACGACCUCAUUUUGCCGAGCGUGUGUGGCCAGAGAGCCUAUCGCCGACGCUUUCUGGGUCGUGUGGGAAGGACCCUUCUAUCGCCCACACUCACUUGGCGACGGUUCCAAAUGCCGUUAAUGAAGAGGCUUGGUAUCAUUAUGUUAAUUUGAGCUCAAAUUCAAUAUAAAUCAAAUAAAUUCUCACACAAUUACUCCCAAACUAAACCCACAAAUCACUAUACUUAUAGAGCAUUGCACGUGUUAAUCUAGCAAUUAGAGAUGAAAGGACAAAAUUGCUAACCUUUGUGAACACUUGGAUAGUUGGGGUGCCUCAAAUCUUGACAAAUCUUGGCAAAAAAUGAAGGAUGAGCUUGAGCUAAGGGGAAGAACAGAGAGGGAAAAGGAGAAAACAGAGAGGAUGAGCUCGGGACGAACUGGGGUUUAUAUAGGAAUAACUUUAGUCCCGGUUGGUAAUACAAACUGAGACUAAAGGUCAAGCUAUAGUUCCGGUUGGUGAUACAAACCGGUACUAAAGGGGCUCGUGGGGGGCCAGCCUGACGCCAUCACCAACCGGGAUUAUAGGUCAAAAAUGAACCGGGACUAAUGAUGCCCAUGCCCCCUUCCGCUCCUAGCCGUUGGAACCGGGACUAAUGGUCACAUUAGUCCCGGGCCUAGAUCGGGACUAAUGCUUCGGACGAAAGGUCUGUUUUCUACUAAUGUUCACCCACUCAACAAAGGGCCUUUUCAUAUGCAAUGUGUCAUUGUAUGGUGGUGAAAAAACAUCCGCUUCCAUAUAUCAGUGGUGAUUCCCCAAUUUGUGUCGGUUGCUGCCGACGUCGAGCUUGGAUGCGCAUGCACUGUCUCUGCUUCUUGUGAUGCUUUUGCUACUGCCCUUCUACCUCCACUUCAUAUUGAUGUGUCAUAACCGUAGACUGCAUUUGCGUUGCACCUAAUGAACUGGACAAAUACAGGGGGAAACUCGAUUGAAAGUUGACAACAACAAUGGUUAAUGUUCUGGCCCUAUAAAUUCCAAAAAUUUGUCUAAACCAUAUUUGAUGAAAGCCAUUUCUCUUAUUCUUCCUGGGAAAAUUUCAAUGCUCUCCAUAAGGGUCAAAAUGAUGAAGCACGCACGCUCCUCAUGAGGAGAUACAUAGCCUGCCGAGUCGUGACUCGGAGUAUACUCCGCGACAUCUUGGCAGCAGCAGCGAAAGCCAUUGUGGUUGGCUCUAAUACCAACUGUUUUGAACCUUGAUCCACCAGAAAAUGCAUGGCCGCAAAGGAUUGCGUAUACAUAGGUUUAGAUGCGAGGACAACUUGGUGAAACAUAUUGAUUGUUCUUGCCUCCUCAAACAUGGGCGCAUGCCAUCCUUAUAUAACGGAUGCUUGGGCCCUUGAGGCCUUGACCUUUCAUAUUCUCCUAAUAUGAUUAGACUUCCUUAUACAAAUGCAGUCUUUCCUAAUCUUACAAUUUCCUAGUGGACUCUUAGGAUACUUCUUUCUCAUUGACUCCUUGUCAGGUCCUAGCAGAAAAGGAAUCUCAACAUAUAUCCCUCAGUUGUCCAUCAGAGAAACAGAAGUGAAGGGUACAUUCACUUAUCCAACGUUGCACGUGUGAUUGAGAAAUACAAUGGCUGUUGUUACGUGGCUUAUUGUUGUAAUUGCAGUUUACUGUAAUUUAGUUUAACCAGGUGCUUUGCUUAGGCCAUUUACCACAUGUUUUACUCUCGGUAAUCACCAAACCGAUCUGGCUAUGUUUACCGUUCCCAUCUGAGUAAAGUGUAAGAAAGAAUUCGACAAAACAUAGUUCCUUAGAUUAGCUAGAAGUAAAAGUGAUCAUCUUCACAACCAUCCCGCAUUUUAUCCUGUAAUCCGACAAAUCCCUCGUUCGGUUUUUCGAUGAAUUCCUUCUAAUUAUUUUGGUCCUGGCACUCCUCCCAUGCUAGAUCAACAGGCGAUCCCUCUAUUGGAGCACAAAUUUGGUGAAGCAAAAUAUGCUUUUUGUAUUUGGUUUACUCUAAUAUCUCAGAAACAAAAGCGUCGAGUAUGGACCGCUUCACCCAGCCAACACCAUGUAUGCAUUGUGUGGUAGUGGGAAAACUGCCGCUUUCAUAUAUAUAGUCUCGAUUCCCUGCUACCAAAGAAAUCAUCAGGUCAUCAUAUUGUCAUGAUCAUUUGAAUUACUAUGGCAUGGCAGAUCAUCAUGCUUAUUGUGUUUCUCAAAAGUGCGAUUUUUACUGCUGGAAUCAGCCAUACACCUCUAUCGAAAAGAAAAGAUGGGAACCUGAAAUAAAAAUAUAUAGUUCCCAAUCCAUGACAACAAUUGCAUGAUAAAACAGGGGAAAUCUGGGUCCAGAGCUCCCACCUCUAACUCUAUCCCAAAUCGAUGAUGCAUUAACCCAUCUUCAUUCUGUGCUGAAAACCUGAACUCUUUUUCUUUUCUCAUUUGAAAGAGUAAUAAGAAAGCUGAACUCAGUCUAUCACUUAGUGACUUAGACAGGCAAGCUGAUAUAUGAUUUUGCACACAUGGAAGUCAUCGAGUGCAUAGCAUGCAGCUUAAUGGAUUCCCAAGAGCAGCAACAAUUGAUGCAGAGCAGUGACAGUAAAUCCCCGUCGAGUUACAUAGGCUCUAGUCUUUCCAAGCGCGGGACGAGUUAUAGACCAUUGGUUGUUUAGGAAAAACUAGACCAGAGAGUUGAUGAGGCCGCCGAUAUACAUGUUCCCUUCGUGUACAAUAUUUGAUCAGGAACAACCGCAUACAAACGCCAAUUAGCAGGCUAUAACACACAACCGUGCACGCUGGGGCUCUUGAUAUUCAGAUCGACCCUAUUUUUGCACUUUGCAAUUACACACGAAAAACAAAUAUCUAAAAUUGUUCAGACGUAGUUGAAACUGCAGCAUAAUCAUAUUUGACGUCUACAGUGUUGCUAUCUUGGGAACCACGUUCUCUCCAACUGAUCUUCCACAUCUGGAGUAAGCUUACCCUGCAUGAUAGAGGAAAAAUAUUUUAGUCACAUGGAUACAUAGAUGCAAUGCCUAUUCGAUGUGAUGUUGUUGUCAAAACUACGUACACAUGAUGAAUGAGAACAUUGAUUUUUGGAAGGGAACCAGGGUAGCAUUAGGAAGAAUCUGAAUUUGCACGUCGUUUGUCCAGCCUUCUGUUCCGUGGUAUUGCAGUUUGUACUCGCUAGAAUCGCCCCUUCACCUCUGUAGAAAAGGAAACAUAGAACUCUUAAAUCUGAAUGCGAAAAAUGCAAAGAGAGCCUUGGCUCAGUGGUGUUGGGCAUGCGGUUGUGCAGCCUAGCGACCCGAGUUCAAUUCCUAGAAUUGACAGGCGAUGCACAGGGGUUUUCCCCCGUUUAUUGAGGAUCAAGCUUGAUGUGUGGUGGAACCUCUCAUCAAGAAAUAUCUUGAUACUCAUACUAAAAUUGCCGUAUGCAUCCCUGGUUGGUGCAGAGGCCGGGGAAGUAAAAUUCUCCCCCGUUUUAAAAGACACAUCAAUCUAUCUCUGGUUAGGAGCCCCGAGGCUUUCUUAUCCUAUCUUCCCUGACCUCUCUCCCCCGAGGCGGCGCCACGCCGCCCCCGGGGAGUCCCCGUCCACACCGCCCUCAGCCCUCCCCCUCCAUCGCCUCCCACUACCGCCGCCGUCGCUGAGGACGCCGCGGGGCGAAGCCCCUAUGGUGAGGCGGCGGCGGCGGCUUAGUCCUCAGUAACGCGUGGGGGCAGCGGCGUCCAUCUCCCUCCUCCUCCAACGGCAGCGCGCAGCGGGUUGGCGGUGGCCAGGAGAUCUCCGGCAGGCGUUUGGCAGAUGAGAUUUUGGCUGCGAUGAGAUCUGAUCUAAGCCCGAGGGGUUUAGAUCGAGAUCCACUACGGCUGCGCCUCGUCUCGACAACGGCAAGAGGAGAUCCCCCAUGGGUAAUCUUCGCGGCACGAGGACAUCCGGGUCUCUUGGCCCGGGCAUGGUGGUGGUGGCUGCCUUCUCCAUCGAAGGCGGUAGGCCAGGUUGGUAGUGACGGAUCUUGGAUCCCAGUAUUAGCACCGGCGGCGAGUUGGGGAGACAUAGUCGUCGGUGAAAACCGAGCCGACUACGGUCAUGGCGGGCGAUGGCAGCGUCUACGUCAUUACCUUGAUGAAGGCAUCGUGAAGCAACUAUCGUCAUCCUGCUCGUGCCGCUCCAAGAGAAAUCCUAAGAUCACCGGAUCGGACGAUAGCGGCGCUGCGGUGUCGUGUUCCCUAUUGGGGGCAUUGUUUGUGGAGCGGCGCUGGAUGGAAGAGGCGUGAGGUGGUGUGGCGUGCCUUCUCUCGCGUCGACGACGGCGGGUCUCGGCGGCAUGGAGCAGUGGGCUCUCGCCGGUGGGCAUGUGAUGAUGGACGAGCGCAGGAUGAUGGUGUUGUCUGGCGUCGUGGUGGCGUCGACGACAGCUAGACCGGGCAAGGUAGAUGCAACAGUACAUCACUGAAGAUGGAUUUGUGGCAGGUGGCUGCGUCGGCCUCAUACCCGGCAGGCGUCCUGGUUGAGGAGUGCGCCGGACUCGUGGGUACCCCAUACCCGGCAGGCGUCCUGAUUGGGACCUCAGGUCUUAGAUGUUAGGUUUGGCUGCGAGGUCUGUUUGGUAUUAGGCCCAGACUAUCAGCAUCCCUACAUCAACUGGAUAGGAGUAGCGACAGAUAUUGCCUAGACGGUAGCUUUAGUCUUACUGUUGUACGACUUUUUAAGGUCUUAUGUGAAUAAUUAAUAAAGUGGCUGCUUGCAUCGUCCAGAUGCAGAGGCCGGGGGUCAUCCUCCUUUUCUAAAAAAAAAGAGCUCCCAUAUUAAAUCAUGGGUAUGUACCUGUAUCUCAAAUCGAUGACGCAUUAAUCCAUCUAGUGCAGCUAUUUCUCGGUGAAUUUGUUUAGUUGUGUUUUGCUCCAGAACUCUGAUAGCUAUUGUGGUUUUAGCUUUAGGAGGCACCCUUUCUUAGGUUUUGUUUAUUUUGCUGCAGAUAGAUACUAGACCUUGCUCGUUACCGCUGAGAUAGCUGAACCCCGCAGUUUUUUGGCAUAUUAAAUAUACGAAAAUAUUAUACCGCGUACAUUAUUGUUUGUCUAUUUUUGGCGGUGGCAUACAUUUUUGUUAAUAGAUGACAUUGAUUUGCAACUAGGCACAUACAACACCAGACCUGCGAAGCGACCAUGCAUGCGCGUCGUCGGUGUUGCUCCUAGUUGUGCCUCUGCUGUUGUUGUGCGUGGUUGUGCAACCACCGCUGGUUGUUGCGCCGGGUUGCUUUGUCGUCGAUCCUCCGCCGUCGAGCUUGGCUGCCUCUGCUUCUUCUCGUACUUCUGCUACUGCUUCCUGUUCUGGUGCCUUUUCCACUACUGCAUAUUGUUGUGUCGGUCAUCGUGGACUGCACUUGCACGGUUGCACCUAAUGAACUGGACAAUAAUAGAAGUAACUCAAUUCUCUCGCCAAAAAAAAAAACUCGAUUGAAAGCUGACAACAACCAUGGUACAUGUUCCAGCCCUCUAAACUGCCAAAAGCUCGUCUAAACAAAAUCUGAUGAAGGCCAGGACCAUUAAUCUUCCUGGGAAAAUUUCAAGGUUCUCCAUGAGGAUAAAAAAUGAUGAAGCAUGUUCGAUGUUCCCCGUGAUGGGAUAUAUAGACUGAUGAGUCGCGAGUCGUGACAAGGAGUAUCCUCCGUGAUAUCUUGUCAGCAGCAGCGAAAGCCAUGGUGAUUGGCUCUAAUACUAACUAUUGUGAACCUUGAUCCAACAAAAUGCAUGGCCGCGAGAGAUUGUGCAGACACAGGUUUAAAUGCGAGAACAACGUGGGAAAACGAAAUGCAUGGCCACAUGCCAUCCUUAUAUAAAGGAUGCUUAGGCCCUUGAGGCCUUCGCCUUUCCCAUUCUCCUAAUACGAUUGGAGUCUUUCUAAUCAUACAAUUUCCUAAUGGACUCUUAGGAUACUUCUUUCUCAUGGACUCUUUGUCAGGUCCAGAGAAAUCUCAAUAUAUAUCCCUUAGUUAUCCAUCAGAGCAACACAAGUGAAGGCCACAGUCGGUUAUCCAACGAUGCACGUGUGAUAGCGAGAUCCAAUGGUUAUUGUUACUUGCCUUAUUGCUUUAGUUACUCUUUACUGUAAUUUAGUUCAACCAGGGGGCUUUGCUUGGGCCAUUUACCUCAUGUUUUACUCUGGGUAAUCAUUGAACCGACCCGGCUAUAUAUGUCAUACCCAUCGUGAAUAAAGGGUAAGAAAGAAUUUGCCAGAAAAUACUUCCUUAGAUUAAUUAGAAGUAGAGGCGAUUAUCUUCUCGAGUAUCCCGCAUUUUACACCAAAAUCUGACAAAUCCCUCGUCGGUUUUUGGGUCAAUUCCUUUCAAUUGUGCCGGUCCUAGCACUCCUCCCAUGCUGGUUCAACGGGGGCUCCCUCUAUGGGCUCUCCUCCCAUGCUGGUUCAACGGGAGCGGGUCCCUCUAUUGGCUAACAAAUCGGGUGAAGCAAAAUAUGCUUUCUCUAUUGGUUUACUCUAAUAUCUCGGAAACAAAAGCGUGGAGUACUGACCAUUUCGCCCAGCCAACACCAUGUAUGCAUUGUGUGGUGGUGGGAAAACUGCCGCUUGCAUAUAUAUAGUCUCAAUUCCCAUUCUACCGAAGAGGUCAUCAGGUCAUCAUAUUGCCAUGAUCAUUUGCAUUACUAUGGCAUGGCGGAUCAUCAUGCUUAUUGUGUUUCGCAAAAUUUCCAUUUUUACUGCUAGAAUCAGCCGUACACUUUUAUCGGAAAGAAAACAUGGGAACCUGAAAUCAGAAUCUAGAGUUCUCAAUCCAUGGCAACAGUUGCAUGAUAAAACAGGGGAAAUCUGGGUCCAGAGCUCCCACCUCUAAAUCGCAGUUAUGUUCCCCCGUAUCCCAAAUCAAUGAUCCAUUAACCCCUCCUCGUGCUGUCCUGAAAACCUUAACUUUGUUCAAUUUUGAAAGAGUUAUAAACCUGAACUCAACCCAUCACUUAGACAAGUCGGACAAUAAAUUAUCUUGCACAUACGUAAGUAACAAGCAAGCCAAUGAAUUAUCUUGCACAUAUGGAAGUUGUCGACUGCAUAGCACGCAGCUUAAUGGACUCUGAAGAGCAGUAACAACUGAAGCGGAUGCAGUCACGUAGAACCCCGUCCAGUUACAGGACGAGGUAUAGGCCAUUGGAAGUUCGCAAAAACUAGAGCACAAAGAGUUGAUGAGGCCACUGAUAUACAUUUUUCCUCCCUGUACAAGAUUCGAUCAGGAACAACCACAUACGAACGUCGAUUAGCAGGCAAUAAUACACAACCAUGGAAGCUGGGGUUCCUGAUAUUCAGAUUGAUGCUAUUUUUACACU
rnacentral:lncRNA from 1 species